UCCUUUUACCCCAGGCCUACUGAUAAC
rnacentral:piRNA from 1 species